CGCGUGAGUGAAGAAGGGUUUCGGCUCGUAAAACUCUGUUGUUAAAGAAGAACAUAUCUGAGAGUAACUGUUCAGGUAUUGACGGUAUUUAACCAGAAAGCCACGGCUAACUACGUGCCAGCAGCCGCGGUAAUACGUAGGUGGCAAGCGUUGUCCGGAUUUAUUGGGCGUAAAGCGAGCGCAGGCGGUUUUUUAAGUCUGAUGUGAAAGCCUUCGGCUCAACCGAAGAAGUGCAUCGGAAACUGGGAAACUUGAGUGCAGAAGAGGACAGUGGAACUCCAUGUGUAGCGGUGAAAUGCGUAGAUAUAUGGAAGAACACCAGUGGCGAAGGCGGCUGUCUGGUCUGUAACUGACGCUGAGGCUCGAAAGUAUGGGUAGCAAACAGGAUUAGAUACCCUGGUAGUCCAUACCGUAAACGAUGAAUGCUAAGUGUUGGAGGGUUUCCGCCCUUCAGUGCUGCAGCUAACGCAUUAAGCAUCCGCCUGGGAUACCCCCCCAAU
rnacentral:rRNA from 1 species